rnacentral:lncRNA from 1 species
CCCCGGCCCCACCAGAGGGCAUCAGCUAUGCCUAGGGGACCACAACAGACUCGACAGGAUCCACCGGUUGGGCCCAAGGCAGGAGGAAGGGCGGCGCCCCCAAACUCCCAGGACGCCUGCAGCACCCCCCACGCGCCGCUCUCCGCCUCUGGGGAGCAUCCUGCCACCCCCCGACACACACACCCCGGCUACAUCCCGCCUUCUCACGCUUGGUCAGGCGCUCUGGAGAUGUCGGAGAUCCAGGCUUUUCCUAAAGAGUCAGGAUUGGAAGGCGGACUCCCACCGUUUGCUGAGCUCCACAUGACAACAGCAGACGACAGGCCGCACUGAUCCCACCUGGCUUACAGGUGCUGUCACACAGGUCCACCCACAGGGAUGUUUUUCAAUCAGAGUUAUACCAAGUGUCCCUGCCUCUCCUGCCUCCCUUCCCACUUCCUCCAUGUCUUCCUCUCUGCCACCCUGAGGCAGCAAGACCAGCCCCUCCUCCUCAGCCACUCAACAUGAAGACAACGAGGAUGAAGACUUCUAUGAUAAUCCACUUCCACUUAGUAAAUGCUUUCUCUUAUGAUAUUCUUAAUGACAUUUUAUUUUCCCAAGCUUAGUUUAUUGUAAGAAUACAGUAUAAAUACACAUACAAAGUACGUGUUAACU